CGUUAACCCAGAAGUUGAAUGAAAUUCACCCCGAACCAUAACCAGGUGUCUGUAAUGUAACAAUCAUCAUCCAUUGAAGCUCAUUGUGCAACCACAAGCAAUGCAAUAAAAAGAUCAACGGAGGACGAAUAUGUCCCAAAAGGAAAGGUGUCUAUGAAGAAUCAAUUUUCGGGCCAGAAGUACCUUUGUGGGAAGCAAUCUGCGGCAACCACUUCAGGCAAGAGUUGGUUCAGCUGUUGUUCAUUUCGGAGGCGCACUUUCUCCUUCAAAGAAUGGCACAAGGACAGACAAAUAGGGACAGGAUCAUUUAGGAGGCAGGGUCCUUUAGGUUGCUUCUGCCAAGCAAUCGGAAGAAGUCAUUAUGGGAAUUAAUUGAUGUGUAAAUAGUGGAAACAUACUCCCGGGCUACGAGAGUGUGUUUGAGUAGGCUGUGGCGUGGUUCUGGAGAUUUCCGUUGGUCCAGAAGGCACACGAAGGUUUUGCUUGUUUGCUGUUUGUGGGACAGAAGUAAGAAGACAUUGAUCGAAGCAUUGUGAGCUAGUCAAAUUUCUAACAGAUUUUAAUUCCUACCCUUCAGUGUCAGGAGACGGUCACCAAUCGUCGGAAAAAGCAUCACGGUAUGUUUUGUUAAUUCCAGCAACUACCGGCGGCAAUGUACAAUGUGUCACAAAAUGAGAAACAUACCCCGAAGGCUGUACGCCACCCCGUCUCAUCCGGAAUCAGUAAGCUGUUUUACGCCAAAUCAAAGUUACAAAAACAAACCCACACGGGAACCGGCUAAUCGUAACCAUCCAUGCACGUGGCCUACUACUUCUUGGUGUUGUGGUCGUCAACUAUUUCGGUCUAGAGAGAACCACACCGAUGAAAAGGACAUGAAAAAGGGCCGCUAACCCUGGCAAUGGUUUCAAUUACAAUGUUCAACGUUCGAUUCCCCUAGUAUUCCCCGGUCAAAGUUACAGCAUAAUUGAGUGUAAUAAUGAUAACGAAGGGUUUGAUGUUUGACGAAAGCGCCGAGGAUUAUAUGCCACGCCCGAAUGCCCGAAUGGAUUUAAGCACGUUCGACAUGGUUUACCGUCGUGUCUAUGUAGCUCCGUAUUCUAAAUCGCCAUGACUAUUUUCGGAGCAUAUUAAAAUCAUCACUGAACCGUCGCAUCACAAAUCAUUUUGUCACGAGUUUCGUUAUGUCAUUUUCAUGAUUCAAACGCGUUUCAAUUAUGAUUGUUUGCAAAUGGCGCAGAGCUGGUAAGAGGAAAUGUGGAAUGAUGGAAGAUACGGUGUAGGAUCAAAGAUGGUAGAAAUUAUUCAGCAAGUUAUUUGGAUUAUUCUUUCAAAGCCAGAGUGUCUUGAUAGAGAAGAAUGCGUCUUUUAGGAAAAUGGCUACAAUAAUUCGAUCUUUGCUUGUGAAAAGGGCUGAAUGUAAUGAAAAAAAUCCCCGAAAAAAUAUUUCCAUGUUGUGUGCUAAUCGAUAAAACAUUGGAUGAAGCAAACAAGCAGAAAAAAAUCACCAUUCACUUUAUAAAAUACAGCUUUUGUAGA